CCAGUUGGCAAUCUAUGAGAAUGAGAGCCUCAAAUUUGGGAGGAGAGAUCUCAAUAUCUUCGAAUUGCGGCAUAAAAAAGGAAGUGAGGGAGAUGCUCCCGGUGGUCGUGUUCAAGGAGAGCUUCUUGAUCAGGGAAACACAGUUGAGUAAUCUCUCAUUGCUGCUUAUAUUGCUGUGAUAAAAUUAUGUUGUUAUUAAUGUUGGAACAUUGUGUUUGUGGUUUUCGUAUGAUCCUAUGCUCCUUAGUUUGGUUUUUGCACCCGGCACAAAUAAAUCGCAAUUUUAGCUGGGAUGUGAGGUUGGUCUUAUAAAUCCAACCUUAGCUCAGAUGUACAACCAAAGCCUAUAAAGAUGUUUCUUGUGGUUAUUUAUUGAAAGAUAAACCUUAAAAUAUUGGGAGUUUGUUGGGAGUUGCUUGUUUGUUACAUGAAUUUGAACAAGAAGAGUUGUGUCUCGUCUAACUGCUAACCUUCUAGACUUUAUGGUGAUCCCUUGUGUUACAAAUAUUUUUUCUGGACAGGGUUCUAGGACUAUGUAGAGGGUUAAAUCUAUAUUGAUGACUACUCAAAGGUUUGUACCCUUCUAUUACUUCGAUGGAGAAAGAUGAGACUUUGUGUUUGUUUUCUUUUUCAAAUCUCAAUUGAGUUUCUUACCGUUCAGGAUUUCAUUAGAAGUGUGAGGUUAUUUAUUGUAUGUGCAAUUACCUACAUAAUCACUCUGAAGGACAUGUUGAAUAUUACUCUUUUGCUUGUCGACUCUUUUGUCUUGUGAAUUUACAUUUUAGUCAUGAUGUAAACUCUUCCUCAAAUUAGAGAGGUUUGGAGAUAAUGUUUUUUAUGCAGGCUUGACGUCUUAGUUUUUUCACUUAAUUAUGUGACGAGACUGAUUCAAUUCAUGAAGAGAUGAACAUUGUUCAAAGAGGUGCUGGUAUCUUGAUCGAAGAUACUGUGAGUCUUCUUUCAGACUGUUCAUCUGUCAUUAGCUCUUAAUUAUCUGUCACUUUCAUUCUUUAGAUAUUAGAUAGGAGGUUUAUUGUUCUUUUUGAUACAGUAAAUUCUCUUGAUAGAAGCUCCAUAGUUAUAUUCAGAACUUCAUCUGAUACAAAAACGUGUUUCCUGAUAUUUGACCUUUAUUCUAAAUGAUUUUUUGUGCAAUUGCAAUUAAAGGAGUUAAUCAUAUAUCUUUUAUGGAAAAUAUCUGUGUCUUUAUCGUAGUCUAGGUAUUUUUUGGUUGAUGUCUUUGGUUUAAUUGCUGCAAUGACGUUUUUAAAAAAUCUUUUUUAAAGUUUUGUGAUAACCAACUUGUGAUUUUAUUUAUAAAAAAAGAUCAAGUUUUGGUCACGUCAGUUAUGCAUGCCAAAACUUGAUACCUGUAAUUUUUCAUGUUUAAAUUAAAUCGGGGUCGAAACUGCGGGUCCAAAGAUACUAAAUACUCUUUGUGUGCAUUAUUGAAGGUUUCCAUGCCACACAAGACAUAUUUGAUCAAGGACUGGUACUAUGUGUGGAUGUUUCGGUAAGUUUUCAUCAAAUGGUUUUCAGGGACAACCAUUUGAUGUCAUUAGUAUGGUUUCUGUUGCUAAGAAUCGAAUUAAAGAAUUAUCUAGGGAAUGCUCGUGAUUUUGAUCGUUGUAAAAAGGGUUAGUUUUGAGGAUAAGUUGGACAAAAGCCUCAACCAUGGAGAUGAGCCUAGUGAAUUUUGAUUGAUUUUUAAUGAGGCAAUUGUUUCAAUGAUGAGAUAGUCCACCUUCAGAAUCGGGUUUCCCAAACGUCCAAAAUUGCUUAAAGAUAGUGUACGUAGGGUCAGAACCCUAGAUUCGAUUUAAGCUUUAAUAAAAUUAAAACAAUCAGGUUGGGCCUGCAUUGCUAACCUGCCUGAAACUUCGUCGUUUUCUUUCGUAAUAUUGUUUCUUAUAGUUAAAACAUGGUUUCUUUAAAAAAACUAACAAGAAGGCAUAGGGUACUCUACAGAUUUUAAUUUAGAUUUUAAUUUAUUUUAUGUAGGAGCUUUGGUACUAAUUUAAAGAAAUAAAACAUUUACCUUCUUAUAUGUAGUUUCCGAAAUUUGACCAUCUACUAGCUUUUUAUUGUAUGUUAUUGAAUGCCUACGUAAUAUUGUUUCUUAUAGUUAAAACAUGGUUUCUUUAAAAAAAUAACAAGAAGGCAUAGGGUACUCUACAGAUUUUAAUUUAUUUUAUGUAGGAGCUUUGGUACUAAUUUAAAGAAAUAAAACAUUUACCUUCUUAUAUGUAGUUUCCGAAAUUUGACCAUCUACUAGCUUUUUAUUGUAUGUUGCUGAAUGCCUAUCUAGCGCAACAGUUCUUGUUGGUAACCCGUUUCACCUGAUUAAUCUCUAGAGCUUAACCAGUCCACUUUUUUAUACUCUUGUUUACCGUAUAUGCUUCCUUAAUAGUCAUAGACAUAUAAAACAGUUUGGUGUUUGCAUCUUCAACUGACAGAGAUCCUUGACUUGAUGUCACUGGGAUUCAUGACGUGUAACUGGAAGGGAGAAACUAGAUGGAAAAAAUCCGAACCCUAAAGGCACGAGAUGAAUUUGAUGCCGUGAGAGCAAUUGGAGUGGUGGGGGAGUUCAUGGAAUUGGGCUCUUUUUACUUAUGGGGUUUUUAUUUGUCAACAUUUCUAGAGGAAACGUGGAUAAAUCCCAACGUUUUACUCAAAUGUUGGUAAACCUUUGUGGUUAGCUACCGAAAUGUAGUGUAUGCUCCAGCUCAAGGAGUGUUGAGAAUAAUAGUAUGUUAGGAAGGGUAUAUUGAGAAUAUAAGAUGGAGAGGCUUUAGAGAGAUGAUUAGAUAUCAGGAAUAUGAUUAGGUAUGACCAAGGUAUAUGAUUAGAUAUGAUUGAGGGUAUAAAGGAAUAUGCUAAGGAUAUGUUUAGCAUAUUCCUAAAGUACGUAGGAUAUCUUUUUAUCUUCAAGUACUAUAAUAAAUAAUAGAAAAUAACUACAGUUAUUUACCAAUGUUGGGAGUUAUCCAUGUUUCCUCUAGAAAAGUUGAGCCCAACAAAUAAAAGAGCCCGACGAGUAAAAAAUGCGUGAUCCCCCACUACUCAAAUUCCUCUCGCGUCUUUAGGCUUUGGGAAUUGAGGAUUCCCCCACCCCCAGCCCCCCUGCUCACCUCAAGCUUCCUUUCUCCUCUCCUCUCCUCUCGCGGCUUUAGGGUUUUUGCGGGUUUGGGAAUUUUCUUUUGUUUCUCCAGAUUCGCUCUUGCAGUUCCUCGAUGAGAAUCUCGCAACAUCAAGUCAAGGAUCUCUUUCCAUAGGCCUCUCUAACUCUCUAUGGUUUUCCCUUGUUCUCACAAGAGAGUUAUUCAGUGUGUGUUGAUAAACAGAAAGCACCUAUAGGUGGAAUGUCCAUGAACUGCCAGAGCUAGAAAUAUUAUAUAAUGUCAAUUUUGUUUAAGUGCAUACUAUGUUGUUUGUUAAACAACCUCAUAUGUACAAUCGAGAAAUUGACGUGAGAUUGUUUAUUAGUACUUAGCUUAUAUGUUCUACAUAUCUAUUUCAAUCCUAUUCUGGUAUUCUAUUUCGGCCUUCCAAUCAUGCUCUAUUUGUGUUGGGUCAUAUUUUGUGCGGGUAUAGGCAAAGUCUAGCAUGGCACUGAAAUAAAACAGGCAUUCAAUCUAUAAACCAGGCACAACAUGAUGUCAUACUUGAUACAUGCAUAUAUUUUGAGGACUUACCAAUUAGAAGCGGCAGAAAGUUAGCAAAUGGCUACGACUUAUUUGCAAAUAAUGAGUUGUACUAUGCACGUAGAGAACAAGUUUCUAUCUUCAUGUAUUGUGGGCAGUUUUGUCUUUGAUCUGACAUGAUUGUUGUAAUUCAAAGAGAACUUCUGAGUAGUGAAUAGCUAUAGAUAUUGCAAUAUGAACAUUAUUGUGUAUCAAAUCACUAAUGGACUGUGCAAUUACUUAAGUUUGAUGAUGCCUAAACUUUCCUCAAAUUCAGGAGACAUGUAAAUUUUGUGUAUCUUUGCAGAACACUGAGGAAUUAGAGAGAGUUGAGAUUUGCUGGAUGUGGUAAGAUUUCAUAAUCUCCAAGGUCUCACUCCUCAGUGAUGCAUUUCUUUUUGUUUUCUGAGAUUAGGCCAUUAUUAAUUUGAUUUAUUCAAGGCAAGGUUUGGUAUGACAGGAGGGGAGGGGAGGGACGAAACUAAAAGUCAUGUUUGGUAGGGAGUUUUGGAUGGUGAUGUGAGGUGCAGGCAGGGGAAGGACAAUGAAAAAUGAACUAAAAACUUACAGAAAAAUCCCUCUUGUUUUGGGAAGUCACAAAUAGGAGAGUGAUUUUAAUAAGGAUUCACCUUCCCUGGCUCCCUUUCAACCAAACACGAAGGUUAAAAGGAAUGUGCGUCCCUCCACCUUAUUGCACUCCCCUCCCCUCCCCUUCCCUAAUCAAACUCCCCUACCAGACCAAGCCCAGUUAAAUGGUAACCAGCUUAUGGAUGAGAUAAUUUUGAUAUAAAAUACAAAUGUAAAACAAAUGCAUAUCUAAGCGAAUGCGCCUAUUGUAUUCUGCUUAGUUUCCAGCUACCACUUGAACAUAGCAGAAAGUUUGUCCCUCCGUUUUCUGUAUUGGCUGGGCAAUUUCUUAUAGCCCAAUAAGUAUAGCAAUCUGCAUAGCUCCCGUUUUGUUUGCUUCAGUUCUUUUAUGAUAUUUGACACUUUAUAAGACUAUCUCAUUUGCAUCACAUUAAGCAUGUUAGGACUGACACGCAGCUCUUUGCGCCUUGAGCCUUGACAAUGGUGUCUGUAUAAGAGCCUUGCGCUUUGACAACGCUGUCUGUAUGCUCUGUAUGCUUAGGUGACUACCAAGCAGAGGACAGGCUUCAACGAAUACCCUUCUGUGGCCACACCUUUCAUGUUGACUGUAUCGACCACUGGCUUUCCACUCAUACAACUUGCCCACUCUGUCGAGUCUCACUUCUU